rnacentral:rRNA from 1 species
UACGUAGGGGGCGAGCGUUAUCCGGAAUUACUGGGCGUAAAGCGCACGCAGGCGGUUCGCCAAGUUUGGAGUGACAGUUGUCGGCUCAACCGACAAAGGACUUCAAAAACUGGUGAACUUGAGGACGAGAGAGGAACAUGGAACUCCAGGUGUAGUAGUGAAAUGCGUAGAUAUCUGGAAGAACACCAAUGGCGAAGGCAAUGUUCUGGCUCGUCUCUGACGCUCAGGUGCGAAAGCCAGGGGAGCGAACGGG